rnacentral:rRNA from 1 species
UACGUAGGGUGCAAGCGUUGCCCGGAUUUAUUGGGCGUAAAGGGCGCGUAGGCGGCUCUGCACGUUCGUUGUGAAAUCGCCCGGCUCAACUGGGCGGGGUCAGCGGAUACGGCAGAGCUUGAGCAAGCUAGGGGGCAAUGGAAUUCCCGGUGUAGUGGUGGAAUGCGUAGAUAUCAGGAGGAACACCGGUGGUGUAAACGGCUUUCUGGACCAUAACUGACGCUGAGGCACGAAAGCGUGGGUAGCAAACAGG